rnacentral:rRNA from 1 species
AUGGGACAUGAUUUCCCAGAAGGGUUUAAACUCAUAAACAUUGAAUCAUAUGAUGGCACAACAGACCCCGCGGUGUGGAUCGAGGACUUUCUUCUCCACAUUCAUAUGGCCCACGGAGAUGAUCUUCACACCAUCAAAUACCUCCCGCUCAAACUCAAGGGACCAGCUAGAUACCGGCUAAACAGUCUGCCCAAAAACUCCAUCGGCAGCUGGGAGGAAUUGGAGGGCGCCUUCCUCGACAACUUCCAAGGCACAUAUGUCCGACCUCCGGAUGCUGAUGACCUAAGUCAUAUAAUCCAACAGCCCAAAGAGUCGGCCAGGAAAUUCUGGACUCGGUUCCUCACUAAAAAGAACAAGAUCGUCGACUGUCCGGACGCCGAAGCCCUAGCGGCCUUUAAGCACAGCAUCCACGAUGAAUGGCUGGCCAGACACCUCGGCCAGGAAAAACCGAAGUCCAUGUCAGCCCUCACAUCACUCAUGACCCACUUUUGUGCGGGCGAAGACAGCUGGCUAGCCCGUAGCAACAAGCGAACCUGGCACUUCUGA